CCAUACUCUUUCUUUCUUUCUCCCUGACUCCAUCUCUUCCCCUCUUAACCUCGUCACAACCACCUUCACCCUGCCCACCACCACUCACCAUCACCGAAGGCACCACAACCCCAUCGCGAGCCACCCCUCCUCUUGUUGCCUCUCUGUUUCGACAAAACCCGAAGCUCUCUUCGCCACUGCCGAAGCUUCUAUCCAUUUCCAAUAAGCUCUUGGCCAAAUGGCCGAGCUCCUUUUUCCGUCUUGGAGUUCUCUCUCUCAAUCUCGAGUUCUUUCUCUAUCUCUAUCUCUAGCUAAGGAGGCCAAGGAGAGUCGAUCUCAUCGCCGGCGACAUUCCAGAGUGUUUCUGCAUUUUCUGGUGACCUCCACCAUUUUCUCCGGCCACGGAUUGGCCAAAAAUUCUUCGAGUCCAUCCCAAACUCUCUCUCUUUGUUCCUCUCUUGUCCUUUGAUUUGGCUUUCUUAAUCAUUUUUUGCACAAGCAUGUCCUUAUCUGAAGAGUCGGGCAAACAAAGAGCAGAAAAGGCUCUAAGCACAGUAGAGAGUACAGGAGCAGGCAGAUAAAGGAUCUCAAGGAUCACCUUCCUCUUUCAGACCCAGGCAGAGAACGCGCACUUUAGCUUCCACUUCCACUACUCAGUCGGAUCCAUCUCUUCUUCCCCAUCCAUCUCAACAGCCAGGUUCGUCAUCUAUUCCUUCUUCAGAGCCAAUGCCCCAAGCUGACACUCGUUCCUAGCAUGCCAGUUCAGAUUCCAGCUAUAGAGCUGAGCUGACUCAACUGCAGUCAGAUUUUACUUCUUUCAGAGUUGACAUGACGAGACAAUCUGAUGACUUAGCGAGGCAAUUGACAACCUAGCGAGAGCUGUAGCAGACACGAGGAAAGACAACACAGAUUUUUGGACAAACGUUCAGCAUAUUACUCGAUAUAGCCAGGAGAUGUCAGAGAUUAUCCAGAUCAUUACAGAUAUGCUUAGGCCAGAUGUUGUCCCGUGAUUCCACCAUUCUCUCUCUAUUACUCAUCAUUACAUUACCUGAUCCUGACAUUGCUUUGAUAUUCUGAUACAUUGAUUAUCUUUGGGGAUAUUUUUACCGUUUUGAUAUCUUUACAUUGGUUUUGGAUAUUACUUUUGGGUAUUCAAGAUUUUAUUGCUAUAUGCCAUGGAUUUAAGCCCAUUCAUUCCAAAUUCUUCAUUUUAUCUCUCAUUUCUAUCAUUGAUGCAUAUGCUUUGAAAGUUGCUAGUGUGACCAUUUUCAGACAGGUUUUUGGAAUCUAAGUUUGGGGGUGUGCGUCUUCUAAUGCCAAGCUUCCAUUGCCGGGUUCUAUAUGCUACGACCAUUUGGUAUACUCUUUCCACUAUCUAUGGAUAUCUUUAUACAUUGAGAAUAAUGCACAGAUUAAGUUUGGGGGAGUGUAAGCAUAUUUUGGCAUAUCACACUUAUUUUCUAUGCAUGUGAUAUGAUUUGAGAGCUUAGCAAUGAUUUUGAUCUUUUGAGGACUAUGGUACUUAGAAUUUAAAAAUUGCUUGACUUGUGAGUUCAAUACUCCUUAAAUGCCUUUUGGAAGUCAUUUUUUAGCACAAAUUUUCAAAAGAUUGACAUUUUGUUUGCUUUUGUGGUCCACAUAUCAUGUUUGUGAGAUUGCUUUGAGAUUCACUCUAGAGUUCUACACUUGCACAUGUGUACACUAGUAUUCAUUUAUGGGGUACAUACUUAGUUGAUCAUUGAUUUGGUUAUAUUCCAAUUGAGCUAGUAUUGUUUUGAAAGCUUCCAUUCUUGACAAGAUGAUCUUGCAUGCUAAAUAACAAACCUUUAUCCGAGUAACUGGGAUUCGUGCCUCAUUAAGCAUCGAACUCUCGCAUGAAAGAUGGAAGGCCUACACAAUAGUUCUAAAAAAAAAAAAAAAAAAAGGUUUGCAAAAGCAAAUAAAGUGAGCAUUUCUCACCAAAGUGGGGAGUGGAAAAUGAUUAGAUGAGAGUUGUUUCGAUUUGUAGCCUAGUUGAUUUGAGCUUGUAAGUCCUUAGGGGUGUCUUUCCACCUAAUACCCUAAAGCAAUCCAGUUUGGGAGUCAUUGACCUAACGUUCGCUACAUGAAUCUUCUAGAAAGCUUAAGAGAUCACUACAUUGCACCAUACUCUUGUCUUCUGAUCCUAUUAAAAAAAAAGAGUGAAAAAAAAAAGAAAAACAAAGAGAGCAUGUAGGAAAUAAAUUGAAUAAAAAGGUUUAUUCUUUGUCUUGAUGAUCGGUACUAGAUUUGUGUACUAGCUUGAGACCAGUUGUGCCUAUUUCAUUGAUUUGCUAAGAUAAGAACAUAUUUGAUGCCGGUUCACUCAAAAAGAAUGCUAGAGUUGUUUUGAUUUGCAUGACCAUCUUACUUGACGUGUGGAGGACCAUACUUGCUUGCUUGUUGUUAAAAUUUUGGAAGAUUGCUUAGAGGUGAUUGAAAAAUUGCAUACUUAAGGUAGUUUUCUUUCAAUGCUUGUCUGGAUCAUUGGUGCCUCUUUAGUGAGAAAGAGCUUUAUGUUUGUGGGUAUCAUUUCUGGAAACCUUCACGAGACUUCGCUGGUCUAUUAGGGGUAACCUAGGGGUUCAAAAGGCUUAUUGCGUAUGCUAAAUGCAAUCGUGUUCCCUACGAAAAUAGUGCUAUCUUUUUAUUUCUUUCUAGUUCAUAGUUGUGUAGUUAUCUAUUUCUUUCUUUGCUUUGUAGUUCAUUGCUUGAGACUAGCAAUAUCUAAGUUUGGGGGUGUGAUAAGUGCUCAAAUAUUGUAUAUAUUAGCACCUAAGUUAGGGUAUUUUAGUCCAUUCAUCUACUUUACCUUCUCAUUUUAGUUAUAAUCCUUGUUUUUGUCUAUUUCAGGUCAAUAAGGUUUAAAUAGGCUAAAAAGAGCCUAUUAUCUCCUUUUUGGAGUUAAGAAGAAAAUCCAGAAUAAGUUAGAAAAAGUCCACUGGAGUACUUUCAAUCGAUCGAAGACUCAACCAUGAUCGAUCGAAAGUUCUCAAUCCAUCGAAGUGCCAUGUCAGCGGUAGCUCAGCAAAGGAUAAAGCCAAAUGAAGAUAUUUUCUUGCCACGUCAUCUUCGAUUGAUCAAAUUUAUCUUUGAUCCAUCGAAGUAUCCUUCGAUCGAUCAAGCCCCUGCUGGCAGUGAGCUGUUUAAUUCCCAAGCGUGCUCGAACUCCACCAAACUUUUGGCUGCGGGAUUAAACCAAUGAAAUGCCUAUUUUCUGACUUGUUGCCUACUUAAAGAGGCUUGUAUUUGAAUGAAAUUGGACCAUUUUUUGUAAGGUUCCCAACUUUUAGCGAAAUUUUUUCAUAGUUUAGACAUAAUUUUCUCUCUCUAGAUUAGGGUUUUUGGAGCAAAAGAAAAGGCAAGAAAGGGGAAGAAGAUGAACUCAACCAUGGAGAUAGCCCUUAAGGGUAAGAUAACAACAACCAUAAGUGGCUAGAUCACCCUCUUAAGGUUAGAGAUAGCCCUAGGCUUGCUUUCUAAAAUCUAGUUUUUUGUUAUUUUUAGGGGAUUCUUGUUGUAAAUGAUGUUUUGACCUAUGAUUAUAUAUAGAUUUUGAGUUUCUACA